AGUUUUUUAAUGCAGCAACCAACCAGAGCCUCCAACACUCCUGGCUGCCCUCCGUAGAUCUACAGACUGUAGGUGGAGCAAAGCUGAAUCCUAAGCCAGUCUGGGUCUCUGCUGCUGUCCUGGGAGUGUUCCUGCCCACAUCCACCAUGAUAAAAAGAAAGAAAACCCAAGAUACCGUUCGCUUUCCAGCUGAUAUGGGAAGAGGAACACAGCUGUAGGACAUUACAACCCACACACAGCGUGUUCUACCAAUUUACUCGACAUCACAGGGCCCUGGACAAGGGUCCCUGCUUUAUUAGGGAGGAAACAAGCAUGCGAGGGACCAAGGGCCUUGCCUGAGGUCAAUACGGAUCAGGAGCAGAAUCUGCAUCCAUGUCUUCAGAGAUCAAGUUGAAGGGUGGUGCUGUUUCCACGUUACUGUAAGAGUAAGUCUCAUUCCAACCACGAGGUCACGGUGAUAGAAUUCUUCAACAGGAAGACCACCUGCCCCUGCCCAGUAGAGCUGCAUGGCCCAGCAGAACCUUCUACGUGGAGGAAAUGUUCCGUAUCUUCCUAUCCAGUACGGUGGCUAGUAACCAAAAAAAGCUAUUGGGCACUUGAAAUGUGUCUAAGGCAUCUGAAGCACUAAAUUUUUCUAAUCAGAAUUUAAAUAGCCACAUGUGGCCACUGGUUACUGUGCUCAUCACCACAGCUCUACAAACAAAGUUCCUGGAGGUCAGGCGCCAUUCUCGCUCAUUGUGGUCUCUGGAAGAAUAUUUCCUCAAGAAAAGGACUCAAUAAAUGUCUGUUGAAUUGAAUUCAUUUAAAUUUAGAAAUCUUGAUUGCUGUAAGAAAUACAGCUUUACUACCAUAUGUUGAACAUAAUCCUGUGCACCCUGGAUUCAGAGGAUAAACUAGGAGUAAUUAGUAACAAGUGAGUUUUGGAGAUAAUGUUAAUGAGAGUAUAAUUCUCACUAAAGCAAAAAAGCUAAUAAAACAAAUAUAUUUUAAUAAUGUGGCUUUCUGAGCCAUCUAACUCAUUCUCUUUGAACUUUCCUUUCAUGUCUUAAAGGGAUAUCCAUACUGCAAUAAGCGGCUGGUGUUUUCAAUGACUUUGUUGAAUCCCACAAUGACGUGGGCUCCAUCCUGGCUGUUUUAUCAGGCAGCUGAUUCACAGUCACGUUUCCUGUUGUGUCCCCCUAGAUUGGCACCCUGAUACUCUGUGGAAAAACAAAACGUAAAAGGUUCUCAAACUCUCAUUUCUAUCCUGAAACAUCUGAUCCAUUUUCAAAGUCGGGUUAUUUUCCCCACCUUGGAAAGUGGUAUGGUGUAGUGUUUAAGAGACAGACAGCCCUGAA